AGGGCGCAUGGCGGAUGCCUUGGCUCUCGGAGGCGAUGAAGGACGUGAUAAGCUGCGAUAAGCUUUGGGGAGGUGCAAAUGACCUUUGAUCCAGAGAUUUCCGAAUGGGACAACCCAAUAUCUUGAAGAGGUAUUAUCCAACGUUGUUGGAGGCUAACGCAGGGAACUGAAACAUCUUAGUACCUGCAGGAAAAGAAAAUAAACAAUGAUUCCCCCAGUAGUGGCGAGCGAACGGGGAACAGCCCAAACCAUCCAUGUUACGGCAUGGGUGGGGUUGUAGGACUACGCCGUUGCAUGAAGACAUCAGAGAAGAACUUUCUGGAAAGAAAGACCAUAGAGCAUGACAGUUGCGUAUUCGAAUGUUGUCGAAGCAUAGUAGUAUCCUGAGUAGCGCGGAGCACGAGGAAUUCUGCGUGAAUCUGCCGGGACCAUCCGGUAAGGCUAAAUACUCCCGAGAGACCGAUAGCGAACCAGUACCGUGAGGGAAAGGUGAAAAGCACUUCGAACAGAAGAGUGAAAUAGUUCCUGAAACCGUGCGCCUACAAGCGGUCGGAGCUCGUUAAUGAGUGACGGCGUGCCUUUUGCAUAAUGAACCUACGAGUUGCCUUUGCCGGCAAGGUUAAGUGUGACGACACACGUAUCCGAAGCGAAAGCGAGUCUGAACAGGGCGUAUAGUCGGCAGUGGCAGACGCGAAACCAAGUGAUCUACCCUUGGCCAGGUUGAAGGCUGGGUAACACCAGCUGGAGGACCGCACCAAUAAGCGUUGAAAAGCUUCUGGAUGAGCUGAGGGUAGGGGUGAAAGGCUAAUCAAACUUGGAGAUAGCUCGUACUCCCCGAAAUGCAUUUAGGUGCAGCCUUGCGGGUUACUGAUGUGAGGUAGAGCGACUGAUAAGAUGCGAGGGCUUCACCGCCUAUCAAGUCUUGACAAACUCCGAAUGCGCAUCAGUUCUACCGCAGGAGUGAGGGCAUGGGUGCUAAGGUCCGUGCCCGAGAGGAGAAGAAUCCGGACCACCUGCUAAGGUCCCGAAAUGACAGCUAAGUUAAACUAACGAAGUCUGACUGCUAAGACAGCUAGGAUGUUGGCUUGGAAGCAGCCAUUCAUUUAAAGAGUGCGUAACAGCUCACUAGUCGAGGAGUCGGGCGUGGAUAAUAAUCGGGUAUCAAGUUGUCUACCGAAGCAGUGGGAUCAUUGAUAUGAUCGGUAGGGGAGCAUUCCAGUCGGCGUCGAAGGCGUACCGUGAGGUAUUCUGGAGCGUCUGGAAAAGCAAAUGUAGGUAUAAGUAACGAUAAAGGGGGCGGGAAACCCCCUCGCCGAAAGACUAAGGUUUCCUGAUCAACGCUAAUCGGAUCAGGGUCAGUCGGGUCCUAAGGCUCAGCCGAACGGCGAUGCCGAUGGCAGAAACGGUUAAUAUUCCGUUACUACCUUCAGGAGUGACGUGGAGACGCAGUAGUGACAGUGCCGCCAUCUGACGGAAUAGAUGGUUGAAGGGUGUAGGAGUCGAUCAUGGCAGGCAAAUCCACCAUGAGAUCCGAACCUGACAGUAUGCCGCGUCCUUCGGGACAAGGCAAUAGUGCGCGUAAGCAUGCUGCCGAGAAAAUCCGCUAAACUUAAUCCUGCAGGUACCCGUACCGCAAACGGACACACGUAGUCGGGAUGAAUAUUCUAAGGCGCUUGAGUGAUUCACGGUUAAGGAACUAGGCAAACUGACCCUGUAACUUCGGGAUAAAGGGUCCCUACCCUUUUAUGGGAGGGCGCAGAGAAUCGGUCCAGGCAACUGUUUAACAAAAACACAGGGCUGUGCCAAAUCGAAAGAUCCAGUAUACAGCCUGACACCUGCCCGGUGCUGGAAGGUUAAGAGGAGAUGUCAUCGAUAAGAGAAGCGUUGAAUUGAAGCCCCAGUAAACGGCGGCCGUAACUAUAACGGUCCUAAGGUAGCGAAAUUCCUUGUCGGGUAAGUUCCGACCUGCACGAAUGGUGUAAUGAUCUGGACGCUGUCUCAACCGUGAGCUCAGUGAAAUUGUAGUAUCGGUGAAGAUGCCGAUUACCCGCGAUGGGACGAAAAGACCCCGUGAACCUUUACUAUAGCUUAUCAUUGAAUCUGGGCACGUGAUGUGUAGGAUAGGUCGGAGGCUUUGAAGCAGGUACGCCAGUAUUUGUGGAGCCGCUGUUGAAAUACGACCCUUUAUUUGUUUGGAUUCUAACCCGUGGAACGGGGACAUUGAUUGGUGGGUAGUUUGACUGGGGUGGUCGCCUCCAAAAGCGUAACGGAGGCUUCUAAAGGUGCCCUCCGGCCGAUUGGUAACCGGCCUUAGAGUGUAAUGGCAUAAGGGCGCUUGACUGGGAGACUGACAAGUCGAUCAGGUAGGAAACUAGAGCAUAGUGAUCCGGUGUUUCC
rnacentral:rRNA from 1 species